UGUAAACAUCCUACACUCAGCUGUCGGGCACGGAGGGCUGGGAGGCGGAUGUUUACGUC
rnacentral:pre_miRNA from 1 species